AGGUGCGAUCAUACCAGCACUAAUAGACCGGAUCCCAUCAGAACUCCACAGUGAAGCAUGCUUGGGCGAGAGUAGUACUAGGAUGGGUGACCACCUGGGAAACUUCGUGUUGCACCUC
rnacentral:rRNA from 2 species